GACGAACGCUGGCGGCGUGCUUAACACAUGCAAGUCGAACGAAGAGCGAUGGAAGCUUGCUUCUAUCAAUCUUAGUGGCGAACGGGUGAGUAACGCGUAAUCAACCUGCCCUUCAGAGGGGGACAACAGUUGGAAACGACUGCUAAUACCGCAUACGAUCUAACCUCGGCAUCGAGGAUAGAUGAAAGGUGGCCUCUACAUGUAAGCUAUCACUGAAGGAGGGGAUUGCGUCUGAUUAGCUAGUUGGAGGGUAACGGCCCACCAAGGCGAUGAUCAGUAGCCGGUCUGAGAGGAUGAACGGCCACAUUGGGACUGAGACACGGCCCAGACUCCUACGGGAGGCAGCAGUGGGGAAUCUUCCGCAAUGGACGAAAGUCUGACGGAGCAACGCCGCGUGAGUGAUGACGGCCUUCGGGUUGUAAAGC
rnacentral:rRNA from 1 species